AUGAGUUGCAACUUUCGAAAAUCGAAUGCAAAGUUCCAGAGCUUCGACCAACAGAAAAUGAUCGCAGCUUCCGAAAUCAAGCACAAAUACAUGUACCGUACUUACGAUGGAGAAAUUCACCAGUGCGGAUUUGAUCACUUGCGCACACAGCUUAUUCAGAAAGAAAAGAAAAGAACCACCUGGGUUGUGUUUGUGCACAUAAAGCGCACAGGCCGCCCUGAGCUCAGUGCGGGCACCGGUCCUUGUACGUGCAGCCCCUGGUGUAGGACUGCCCCGGCGCCCCGCACUGGCCCGGGCACGCCGGCCUAUCCGGGAAGUAGCUGA
rnacentral:rRNA from 1 species